rnacentral:rRNA from 1 species
GAUGAACGCUGGCGGCGUGCCUAAUACAUGCAAGUCGAGCGAAUGGAUUAAGAGCUUGCUCUUAUGAAGUUAGCGGCGGACGGGUGAGUAACACGUGGGUAACCUGCCCAUAAGACUGGGAUAACUCCGGGAAACCGGGGCUAAUACCGGAUAACAUUUUGAACCGCAUGGUUCGAAAUUGAAAGGCGGCUUCGGCUGUCACUUAUGGAUGGACCCGCGUCGCAUUAACUAGUUGGUGAGGUAACGGCUCACCAAGGCAACGAUGCGUAGCCGACCUGAGAGGGUGGUCGGCCACACUGGGACUGAGACACGGCACAGACUCCUACGGGAGGCAGCAGUAGGGAAUCUUCCGCAAUGGACGAAAGUCUGACGGAGCAACGCCGCGUGAGUGAUGAAGGCUUUCGGGUCGUAAAACUCUGUUGUUAGGGAAGAACAAGUGCUAGUUGAAUAAGCUGGCACCUUGACGGUACCUAACCAGAAAGCCACGGCUAACUACGUGCCAGCCGCCGCAGUAA